CGGGGUUGCGGACAGUGUCUGGUGGGUAGUUUGACUGGGGCGGUCUCCUCCCAAAGCGUAACGGAGGAGCACGAAGGUUAGCUAAUCCUGGUCGGACAUCAGGAGGUUAGUGCAAUGGCAUAAGCUAGCUUGACUGCGAGCGUGACGGCGCGAGCAGGUGCGAAAGCAGGUCAUAGUGAUCCGGUGGUUCUGAAUGGAAGGGCCAUCGCUCAACGGAUAAAAGGUACUCCGGGGAUAACAGGCUGAUACCGCCCAAGAGUUCAUAUCGACGGCGGUGUUUGGCACCUCGAUGUCGGCUCAUCACAUCCUGGGGCUGAAGUAGGUCCCAAGGGUAUGGCUGUUCGCCAUUUAAAGUGGUACGCGAGCUGGGUUUAGAACGUCGUGAGACAGUUCGGUCCCUAUCUGCCGUGGGCGCUGGAGAAUUGAGGGGGGCUGCUCCUAGUACGAGAGGACCGGAGUGGACGCAUCACUGGUGUUCGGGUUGUCAUGCCAAUGGCACUGCCCGGUAGCUAAAUGCGGAAGAGAUAAGUGCUGAAAGCAUCUAAGCACGAAACUUGCCCCGAGAUGAGUUCUCCCUGAGACUUUAAGUCUCCUGAAGGAACGUUGAAGACGACGACGUUGAUAGGCCGGGUGUGUAAGCGCAGCGAUGCGUUGAGCUAACCGGUACUAAUGAACCGUGAGGCUUAACCUUACAACGCCGAAG
rnacentral:rRNA from 4 species